GUUCAUUUUUGCUGUAAAUUCCAUUAACAUCGUAAAGAGUAGCAUAUCGGUUUCUUCUUACGUUCUCCACUCUGUGACAAUGAAGGCUAUUCUUCUAUAAAUUGAAUUACUUUCGUUUGCGUGUUACUUCGAGUUACAUAGCAGAGAGGACGACAAUUUUUCUCUAGCGUUCUAUAUAGAUGUCAUCCAGAAAUUAUAUUAAGUUAUUCGUCUUCAAAGUAUCUGAAAAGUACAGUCACAUUGACAAAAAAGGACGUUUCCUUCGACUCCAUUGUUAACCAGUUAGAUUUCAUUCGUUUCUCUUUCAGAAAUUAAUUGUAUUAAUCUAGGGUUGAUUAUAAAUCGAAGGCCAAAUGUUCAUUCUUUAAAUAUAUUUUCCUGAACAGUUACAUUAAGAAAGAAAAGAUUGUGAUCAUGGAGACGACAUGGAUCAGCCAUUUCAGUCAAAUCGAGUUUCCAGAACAAUCAAGAAUUCAACCAUCUUACCAUCAUCAUCAUACUUAGUUUUAAUUUCAACCACUAGUGGCGUUGCAAUCUCACGCCACUCGUUACCAACAAUGAUAAAUGAGCCAACGAUGCUUCAUCGUCGAGGGGCCAGUUUGGUCAUCGGACGGCUCAGGAUCAGAUGCGAGGGAGGACAAGGAGACCAUGGCGACGAAAGAUGGACGUUGAGUGCGGAGGAUGUGGAGGACCUGAUUUGCGUGUACCGAGUGAGUGCAUUCAGAUUUUGAAAGCUGGUAAUAAUUAUUAAUUUAAUAAACAAUGGAGCGAAAAAGUCUGGAAAAAUUAGGAAAAGUUCUUUGGGAUUUCGUAAAUAUUUGCCUAUAUUGUCAUUUCGAUAUUAGAAUCUUGGAAGUGGGAAAGUAAAAUCUUACGUAUCACAAUAUUUACCUCCGUGGAACAAAUAUUUGUCCCUUCAAACGUUUUUUCGUAUCAUUGAAAGCAAUGGGUUAGUGUCAGGUUUCAGCCUUGGGCAGUUCACCCUGCAUAUUGAUUGAUUCAAUACAGGAAGUAUGGGGGACAUAGGUCGAUAUGGGAUUGGACCUACGCAUAAAGGAAAUACUAAUCACGUGAGGGCAAUGGAAGGGUCAUUGAAUUCUUUCGAAAUGGUAAUCUACCAAAUAGGGUCUAACAAUAGGUUCUUAUCCAUCUAGCAUUUAUUAUAUACAACCUUUUCCACCCUGAUAAGAAUCUUUCUUAGUAUCAACAGCCUAGAACAACUAACAUAUCAAUUUAGAUAAUUAAGGAACUAAGUAGAAGCUAGCCCUCCAGAAUUAAUUUUAUUCUCAAAAACUCUCGACCACACUUCAUCUCCUAAUGAAACUCCAACCUUUUACAUCUCGAAACAAAGAAAGUACGAUACAUUAAUAAUAAUAAAAAAAAAAAAAAGAAAAACGUAUCGCGGGUUGCGCACGCACACUCCAGCCCGCGGGGAAAUUCCCGCGAGACGGUAUCAACGCGCGAACGCGGCCAUAAUGCACGCUCACGCAAGGUACUGCCGAGUUCUUCAUUAUCGUCAGGGGCCUAAAUUGCGUGGGCGUACCUAUACCUUCGUACAACGUUACUUACCUUGAUAUGUACUGUAGCCAGUACCCGCGCACGCACACGAACGCGGUGCCUCUUGCACGGACACGAGCUCGAUCGGUACUCGAGAACGUCUGCGGUUACAGGUUCGCUAGCCGAGCAUGGCCGAGGCUGCUCGAAGACUGCCGAGAGCUACGAAGCCGGUUGUCGCGCUCCUCGCCAGAUGCGACGGCGAGUCAGUAUCGCGUCAGUCCUCCAGCGGAAUUGGUCAGUGAUCUGUGUCAGAGCAGGGCCAGGCGUCACUAAAACUCUCGCUCGAUUUACUCGUGAACCAUCGCUCCGUUUACCUUUUGUACGCGAUUCUACGUUGUCGGUGGUUCGACGUGGUUUCUCGUUUCGUCGAUUAUAUAUCCGCCCUUGCGCCUCCCCCUCGUCGAGAGCGCGCCCGGUGUCCGCCGCGUACACCUAUAGCCGCGUAUAUAUGUAUACGUGCACGUAGUACCAUAUACAGUAAUACAGUGCCACAGUGGAGUUACCAGUGGGGAAAACAAAAAUUAGUUUGCAAGCGGACGUGCCUCACGGCGACCGUCGUCCACCACGUUCUGGAUCGUACAACGGCGGCAGGUGAGUCACGAAAGCCUACCAUAGACAAAUCCAUAGCUUCCAAUGAUUCCAAAUGAAGUUUCCCAACACAGGUAUUUGUCAUUAUCACUGCUUUAUUAAUUUACUUUACCAUUUUAG